rnacentral:rRNA from 2 species
GGGGAAUAUUGCGCAAUGGGGGAAACCCUGACGCAGCAAUACCGCGUGAGUGAAGAAGGUUUGCGGAUCGUAAAGCUCUGUUAUUGGGGAAGAAAAAAAGACGGUACCUGGGGAGGAAGCUCCGGCUAACUACGUGCCAGCAGCCGCGGUAAUACGUAGGGAGCGAGCGUUGUCCGGAUUUACUGGGUGUAAAGGGUGCGUAGGCGGCCCUGCAAGUCAGGUGUGAAAACCAUCGGCUCAACUGAUGGAUUGCACUUGAAACUGCGGGGCUUGAGUGGAGUAGAGGCAGGCGGAAUUCCCGGUGUAGCGGUGAAAUGCGUAGAGAUCGGGAGGAACACCAGUGGCGAAGGCGGCCUGCUGGGCUUUAACUGACGCUGAAGCACGAAAGCAUGGGUAGCAAACA